rnacentral:rRNA from 1 species
UACGUAGGUUGCAAGCGUUAUCCGGAAUUAUUGGGCGUAAAGCGCGCGUAGGCGGUUUCUUAAGUCUGAUGUGAAAGCCCACGGCUCAACCGUGGAGGGUCAUUGGAAACUGGAAAACUUGAGUGCAGAAGAGGAAAGUGGAAUUCCAUGUGUAGCGGUGAAAUGCGCAGAGAUAUGGAGGAACACCAGUGGCGAAGGCGACUUUCUGGUCUGUAACUGACGCUGAGAUGCGAAAGCCUGGGGAGCGAACGGG